rnacentral:rRNA from 1 species
UAGGGAAUCUUCCGCAAUGGGCGAAAGCCUGACGGAGCAACGCCGCGUGAGUGAUGAAGGUCUUCGGAUCGUAAAACUCUGUUAUUAGGGAAGAACAAAUGUGUAAGUAACUAUGCACGUCUUGACGGUACCUAAUCAGAAAGCCACGGCUAACUACGUGCCAGCAGCCGCGGUAAUACGUAGGUGGCAAGCGUUAUCCGGAAUUAUUGGGCGUAAAGCGCGCGUAGGCGGUUUUUUAAGUCUGAUGUGAAAGCCCACGGCUAAACCGUGGAGGGUCAUUGGAAACUGGAAAACUUGAGUGCAGAAGAGGAAAGUGGAAUUCCAUGUGUAGCGGUGAAAUGCGCAGAGAUAUGGAGGAACACCAGUGGCGAAGGCGACUUUCUGGUCUGUAACUGACGCUGAUGUGCGAAAGCGUGGGGAUCAAACAGG